rnacentral:rRNA from 1 species
UACGGGGGGGGCAAGCGUUGUUCGGAAUUACUGGGCGUAAAGGGCUCGUAGGCGGCCAACUAAGUCAGACGUGAAAUCCCUCGGCUUAACCGGGGAACUGCAUCUGAUACUGGAUGGCUUGAGUUCGGGAGAGGGAUGCGGAAUUCCAGGUGUAGCGGUGAAAUGCGCAGAUAUCAGGAGGAACACCGGUGGCGAAGGCGGGUCUCUGGGCAGUAACUGACGCUGAGGAGCGAAAGCGUGGGGAGCGAACAGG